rnacentral:lncRNA from 1 species
ACUUUAAGAAACUUGAGGUUUCUACGUCGAGUGGUACGCUCAGCUUGAUCAAGAAUACGCACGGGGUAUUCUCGGUAAGAAAGGUUAUCUUGUAGAUCAAGCGUUUUGUGGUCCACUUCACGGAUAGGAUCCGAAAAGCAACGCCUGAGUUGCGAGACGUGGAAAACAUCAUGAACCUUGGAAAGAUGCGGAGGAAGUUCCAACUGGUAGGCAACUUCUCCUCGUUUGGCAAGAAUGCGAAAAGGUCCAAUGUAACGAGGAGCCAAUUUGCCCUUGAUACCGAAUCGAUGGGUGCCCUUCAAAGGUGUAACCCGAAGGUAAGCCUUCUCGUCAACUUCAAAGGUCACAGCCUUAUGAUGACGAUCAUAUUGGCUCUUUUGACGAGACUGGGCUGUUUUCAACUUUUCACAAAUAAUGCGAACCUGCUCUUCUGCAUCUUGGAUCAUGUCCGGGCCAAAGAGUUGCCUCUCUCCGGUUUCUGACCAAUUAAGAGGGGUUCGACAUCUUCGUCCAUAGAGAACUUCAAAAGGGGCUUUGCCCAAGCUUGAUUGAUAACUAUUGUUAUAAGCGAAUUCGGCGAAUGGAAGACACUUCUCCCAAUUCAUACCGAAUGAAAUAACACAAGCUCAGAGCAUAUCUUCUAGGAUUUGAUUCACUCUUUCUACUUGACCACUUGAUUGAGGAUGGAAAGCAGUGCUAAAAGAUAAGUGAGUCCCCAUGGCAUUCUGAAAACUUUCCCAGAAGCGAGAAGUAAAGAUACUUCCACGGUCCGAGUUAAUUUCCAGGGGAACACCAUGAAGAGACACUAUUCGAGAGAUAUAUAACUCUGCUAGCUGGCUAGCUGUUAUACUCUCACGAACAGGAAGAAAAUGAGCCACUUUGGAAAGACGGUCAAUGACCACAAAGAUAGCAUUAUUUCCUUUCUUGGUCUUGGGAAAUCCGGUAAUGAAAUCAUGCUAACUUUAUCCCAUUUCCAUUCAGGAAUAGCUAAAGGUUGAAGGGUGCCAGCAGGCCUUUGAUGUUCUGCCUUAACUCGCCGACAAACGUCGCAGUUAGAAACGAACUCAGCAAUUUCUCUCUUCAUCCUAGUCCACCAGAACCUCUGGCGUAGGUCCUGAUACAUCUUAGUACUACCGGGAUGAAUGGUGAGAGGAGAAUCAUGAGCCUCCUUAAGGAUUAACUACCUUAGAUGUGGGUUCUUAGGAACCACUAACCGAUUCUGGAAGAACACCACACCUUGAUCGACGACCAGGGCGACGAGGCGGAGCUAAUGGCGUGCUCUGGGAGGGGAUCCUAUGGCCAGGGGCACGGCCAGCUCGAGCUCGAGCUCGGCUCUAAUGGCGGCAGCAGGGAGAAGGAGGAGAUCCGGGAGGAGGAGGAGAACCGAGGCGGGGAAUGGAUAGGGGAAGCUUUGGGGAGCUUAUCCCCAUCGUCGCCAGCACGAACCGGCGGCCAGGCAGGCACGCAGGUGCGUGGCCGCGCCGGAGGAGGCGGCGGCCACCUCCUGCUGCCUACUGGCGCGAGGGAGGGGAUGAGCGGGGAGAUGGGCCGGGCCUGGNNNNNNNNNNNNNNNNNNNNNNNNNNNNNNNNNNNNNNNNNNNNNNNNNNNNNNNNNNNNNNNNNNNNNNNNNNNNNNNNNNNNNNNNNNNNNNNNNNNNGUCAGAUAUUCUUCCAACCCGUCUAUGACGGAUGUUCCUGCGUUAGCUCAUGUCUAGCCUGCAUCUUGCCAUGUCAUGCUUUGUGUUGCAUCGUUGCUAUUAUUUAUUGUUUCUUCCCCCUCUUCUUACCGGUAGACCCCGAGGCUGGCGCUGAUGCCGGGUACAUCUACGACCCUACCGAUCAGUCCUUUGCUGCACAGCAGCAAGGUAAGCAAACCCCCCUUGAUCAUUCCUAUAUCGCCUAUGUCUUUCUUCCUACUGCCCGCAUUUGUAUUUUGCUACUGUUGUAGUUAGCUCCUAUAUCUGAUGCAUAGCCCAUUUUUGAUGAACUGCUACUUUCAGUCAUGUACCUUUAAUAUGCUUAGNNNNNNNNNNUGAUCCCUAAUCGACGAGCCAGACCCGACACAGCACAUACACCCCCCUUAGUUGUACGAUGCUACAGAGAUACUAUCGAGUACCGAGGGUGACACCUCGCUAAGUACUCCUGAUGAUAUCUCUGUAGUAUAGCUAGUUGGUCGUGGUUAUCGAGGGUGAUUCCUCUUUCACCAUUCUCGACGAUGCCACUGUCGUGCAACCCCUCAAGUGUGGGACCCCCGAGGGCGAUUCCUCUAAGCCCACCUUGACGGAUACAUCGUUCGUAAUCCAACGANNNNNNNNNNACUCGCAUUAGUAUUUUGCUACUGUUGUAGUUAGCUCCUAUAUCUGAUGCGUAGCCUAUUUUUGAUGAACUGCUACUUUCAGUCAUGUACCUUUAAUAUGCUUAGUAUAGGUGGAGCAGUCAUCCCCUCUGACCCCGUAGUCCAGUUGCCCCGCUUGUUUUCAAAUCUCGAUCCCUCAUCGACGAGCCAGACCCGACACAGCACAUGCACCCCCCUUAGUUGUAUGACGCUACAGAGAUACUAUCGGGUACCAAGGGUGACACCUCGCUAAGUACUCCUGAUGAUAUCUCUGUAGUAUAGCUAGUCGGUCGUGGUUAUAGAGGGUGAUUCAUCUUUCACCAUUCCCAAUGAUGCCCCUGUCGUGCAACCCCUCAAGUGUAGGACCCCCGAGGGUGAUUCCUCUAAGCCCACCUUGACGGAUACAUCGUUCGUAAUCCAACGAGGGUGAUACCUUGGAUUCCCCCCCCCCCGAUGUUACAACCACACAAUUACUCAACCAUGUUACAGGGUUCAUGGGUGAUUAGUUGUUAAGACGGGUGGAUUCCCGCGAGAUUGUGUCGAAGGCCUAAUUAAAAUGUUAAUGGAUUUGGGUAUUCGAUCUUGGUUGGUCGGAGACCUUUUCGCACUAACCGUCUAUGAGGGAAGAAUUAUGGGUACUCGCCGUCGCGGUAUCAGCCGGAGCUUUUCAGAUGUCAGCAACGUAGUGGCACGCGCCCGAGUGGUCCCGAGAUGCAUCGCGCUUGUGAUUAAGGGAUGCUAGNNNNNNNNNNGUUCAUGGGUGAUUAGUUGUUAAGACGGGUGGAUUCCCGCGACAUUGUGUCGAUGGCCUAAUUAAAAUGUUAAUGGAUUUGGUUAUUUGAUCUUGGUUGUUCGGACACCUUUUCUCACUAACCGGCUACGCGGGAAGAAUUAUGGGUACUCGGCAUCGCGGUAUCAGCCGAAGCUUUUCAGAUGUCAGCAACAUAGUGGCGCGUGCCCGAGUGGUCCCGAGAUGCAUCGCGCUUGUGAUUAAGGGAUGCUAGGACUGACGUCGGCCGCCCUCGCAUCGUGCAGGAGCGCAAAGGGGAACUGGGCCCAUGAACCCUUUGCGCUUAGGAUUUAGACCGACUGGCAGGCCUCUCUGAUUAGUCUUAGGUGAGGCUGCGACGUAUCGAUAUUCCGAGGCCGGGCAGGACCCAAAAAAGUGUGUCCGGCCAGAGUGUUAUCGAGCGUGACGGGACAUGUGGUGCACCCCUGCAGGGAUGNNNNNNNNNNUCACGGUUACAGUACGACUUGGAGUUGGGCCCUGAUCUUAUACAACUACAAUUUUUACUUAACUGGAUCAUUAGUUUGCCUCGGGUUUCCUUCCUCGCAGGGAGUCGAGGGAGGAUCUCUGGGCGUGACCUCACUUUAAUAAUGCUGCAACAAUAUGGCUAUUAAUGUGUUACCCCUGUUCGACUCUCGUCUAUUGCUGCAAGACCCUAAAGAUCCUAGUCUUCGAUAGGACUAGGCCUUCUCUCUCUAUUCUCGCAUUGCUGCAGUCAGUCCAUAUAUAACCACCACCCCCCUUCUUUGAUACUGAUGCAUACUUAGAAUAGUUCUGAUGUAAGACUUGCGAGUACUUUGGAUGAGUACUUACCGCUGCUUUGCUCCCCCCUUGUCCCCAUGAUCCGUUUGCUGCAACCAGAUGAUGGAGCCCAGGAGAUGGAGGCUCCCGCCGACGAUGACUGCUACCCCGACGGUGCCUACUUCUACGUGGAGGCCGCUGAUGAUCAGGAGUAGUUAGGAGGCUCCCAGGCAUGAGGCCUCGCCUCGUUCGAUCGUUGUAUCUUUUGUGCUAGCCUUCUCUAAGGCACCCCAUGUUUUAUGUUUGUACUCAGAUAUUGUUGCUUCCGCUGACUCAUGUGUUUAUCGAGCUUCCGUAUUUUAGCCCUCGAGGCCCCUGGCUUGUAAUAUGAAGUUGAUAUUGUUUUAUUGGUGUCUAGAGUUGUGUUGUGAUAUCUUCCCGUGAGUCCUUGGGUUUGANNNNNNNNNNACGUGUAUGAUUAGCGUACGAUUAAAUCGAGGGCGUCACAAGUUGGUAUCAGAGUCGGCUGCCUGUAGGUAGCCCCCUUUGCAACUCCUUGGCCGAAGUUGAGUCUAGUAUUUGAAAAACUUUACUAACACUGAUGUUGUGGCUUACGGGCCCACAUCUCAAUCGGGUGGUAUUAGUAUCUUUUACACCUUUCCUAUACUCUAGGUUCUACUCUCUCUUCUCUUUCGGGUCAAAGAUUUUACUAACUCUAACAUUAGGUUCUCGUAAUCACAUCGACCCGGAGCGCUGGACUAUCUACUCUUUUCUCCUGAAUAUAUAUUACACACAUUGUCAUUUGACAUCCGUCAAUCUUAUUUUCAGAUGCGUCCCUCAAGACAGCACGUGCGCCUGACCCAGGCCACUGAGACGACUGGGUUCCCGGCCAUUUUGGUCGACCUCCUGACCAGGCUGGGAUAUCGCUGGUACCCCGAGUACACUGUGUUCGAGGAUUUCUGCGAGUACAACCAGUACCAGUACCAGGCUGAGGUUCGCAUCUUCGACCAGAUGGGCGGCGAGGCCCUUGAGCGCCACGUCUUCUAUGGUAUUGGAGUGUCGGUCGAGAUGACCGUCCAUGAUGCGGACUACAUUGCUAUCACCCGCCUCCGUGGAGCGUACCCUCAGCUCGAGGAGAGCCCUUUCACAUACAUCCCACAUGCUCCUGCUGGGGAUGAGACUGGGUCUAAUCUCACUGCUUAUGCUUCUGACGUUCGGGAGCAUAGCGACCGUUCCUACGUUGUUGUCUGCACCCCCUACAUGAUGCGUCGCUACGACGCGCGGUUUCUGGUGCAGUACACUGAGGCACUGGAUCGUGAUUUUCGAGCUCUGACUGUGGAGUUGUAUGCUAUGCGCGCUCGUCUUUAUGACGCAUUGACAGAGCUGCAGCCAUCACACUGCCCGAGGGUUCCCCCUAUGCGCAUCCGCGAGCCGAGCAGAAAAGAGCUACCAUCAGCUCUCGAGUGGACUGAUGUUGGGGGUAGAACCCCUGUACUUGGACCUCAGCUCCUCGACUGGAUGCGGUGCCCUCACCAGAGUCACAACGGGACACAGGGUCCUGUUCCUACCUUCGAUCACCGCCAGCUACCAGUAUUCGUUCGUCCUCUCCGACGUUGAUGUAGCCUUGUCGCUAUAUCUCGUUGUGGUACUCUUCCACCGCGUGCCUGCGUGCUGCCUAGUGAGUCCAGGGUAUCGUCUAAUGCGUCCGGGCUAUCGCCAAAUUUCGAGUUUGUAAUCGUUGGUCUGUAAUCGAACUUAUGUACAUGUCUGUAUGUCGAACUCAACUACUAUGAAGUAUCUACCGCAUUUCCCUUUCAUCAUGCUUGAUUACUUCAUGUAUGUGUGCGAUGCAUAUGCAAUUACUUUAAGCUAAACUACCCCUGUUAAAUAUUUAACAGGAUGGUUAGACGAGCUGGCCACCCGCGUGCCUGUGACAACGAUGCACCACCCCCGCCUCGUGAGUAUAUGGUGGGGAUGAUCCAACAGUUUGAGCUGAACCGCCAGUUUAUGCAAGGGCUCAUGGAUCAGUUCCAAAGGCCAAACAUGAACCAACCGCAAGGCGUGACACUGCAAGACUUCUGCCGCCUCAACCUGCGAUCUACCGCGGCUCAACUCAACCUCUUGAUGUUGAUGACUAGCUCCGUGACAUUUCUUAUGAGCUGGAGUCUGCCAAUGUGCCCCUGGCGAGCUAUGUCAACUUUGUCGCCUACUUCCUGAAGGGUCCCACUGCUCAAUGGUGGGACAGCCACAGGCGCACUCAGCCCGAUGGAACUAUCAUCACUUGGACAGAGUUCAGGGCUGCUUUCCGUGCUCGCUACAUUCCUCAGGGAAUCAUGGACCAGAAGAAGCGUGAGUUCCAUAACUUGGUCCAGGUUAACAAGACUGUGGAUGCUUAUUAGCGGGAAUUUCUGGACUUAUCUCGCUAUGCUGAAGAAGACAUUGCAACUGAUGCACGCAUACAGGAGAAGUUCCGUGAAGGCCUCCACCCUGAUAUCAAGCUGACACUCCUCGUUCAAGACUAUGCUGAUUUCGCCACCCUGGUGAACAAGGCUAUUCAGGUUGAGACUCGUGUGCAGGAAUACAAGGAUAGCAGCAAGCGCAACCGUGACAUGGGCUCAUCUUCGGGCUCAUCUACACAGAAGCGGAAGAUCUGGAUUCCCAACAACAUGUACCAUGCACCUACUCCUGCUCCAAGGCCAUCCUAUGCUCCACCUCGCCUGCCUCCUCCACCACCUAGGCAGCCGAGGCUUCCAACUCCACCGCCUCGAGUUCCUCCUUCCCGUCCUGAGGACGGGCUAUGCUUCAAGUGUGGCCGUCCAGGUCACCAUGCCAGAGACUGCAGGCAGAAUCCAAAUCAGCUGACACUUCCCUCAACUGGUAGUGGCAACAACCAGAACCGCAACUUCAACGCUAAGCCUGCUUAUGUUCGUGGUCAGGCCAACAACAUUGAUAUGGGUCAAGCUCAAGACCAGCCUGCUACCGUGAUGGGUACACUUCUUGUUAACUCAGUACCUGCUUCUGUAUUGUUUGAUACACGAGCAUCGCAUUCCUUUAUGUUGGAAAAUUUUGCAUUCAUGCAUGGCAUUAAGUACGAAGAGAUGAACGUCCCAAUAGUAGUAAGCACCCCCUCGGGCCAAUGCCGACCCUCCAUGGUCUGCUCCAAUGUCCCCAUUGAAAUUUAAGGAUUGGAAUUCUUUGCCUCUCCCAUGUUAUUAAGUUCUUCCAACAUUGAUCUCAUAUUGGGGAUGGACUGGUUGAAAGCUCAUACGGCAUCGGUCGUUUGUGCCACCAAGACCGUCCACCUCCUACACCCUUCAGAUGAAUUAAUAAGCUACCAUGCUCAUCUCGUCCGUAAUGCUGAGGCACGGCUGUAAGCUUUAAAUGCAUUAAAUGUGUCGCCUCUUGAAGGGAUUGAAAACAUUCCAGUGGUCCGAGAAUUUCAAGAUGUCUUUCUAGAAGAACUUCCGGGGAUUCCCCUUGCUCGAGCUGUCGAGUUUGUCAUUGACUUGGUACCCGGUACCACUCCUAUUGCCAAGCGUCCUUAUAAAUGCCGACACAUGAAUUCCUUUAACUUAAACAAGAAAUUGACAACUCGCUCUGUCUGGGUUUCAUUCGCCCGAGUUCCUCUGCUUGGGGAGCACCUUCUCUCUUUGUUAAGAAGAAGGAUGGGACAAAUCGAUUGGUUCAAGACUAUCGUCCUAUCAACCAGGCCACUAUUCAGAACAAAUAUCCUCUCCCUCGGAUAAAUGAUCUGUAUGAUCAACUUGCUAGUUCCACCGUCUUCUCUAAGCUCGACUUGAGAUUGGGAUACCACCAGAUCCAUGUUCGCAAAGAGGAUAUUCCAAACACCGCCUUUGUUACUUGUAAUGGAUCAUAUGAGUACACAGUCAUGUCCUUCGGCUUAACCAAUGCACCGGCAACCUUCUCUCGGUGACUGAAUUAUAUAUUCAUGGACUACCUCGACAAGUUCGUCGUGGUAUAUCUGGAUGAUAUUCUGGUAUUUUCGAAGAAUAAAGAGGAACAUGCCGAACAUCUUCGUCUUGUACUGGAUAAGCUUCGGGAGCAUAAACUCUAUGUGAAGUAUUCCAAAUGUGAAUUCUGGCUAGACGAAGUGACUUACCUUGGUCAUGUGAUUUCCAAGGAUGGUAUUGCAGUCAACCCCGAACGAAUUCAAGCUAUUCUUGACUGGACUCCCCCAAAGAAUGUCAAGCAAGUCAAAAGUUUUCUUGGACUCGCCAGCUAUUGCCAUCGAUUCGUCGAGAACUUCUCCAAGAUUGCGAAGCCCUUAACCAACCUGCUUCACAAAGGUGUUAAGUAUGAGUGGACUGAUAAAUAUUAGGAAAGUUUCCAGGCACACAAGGACAAACUGACAUCCGCUCCAGUACUUGCUCCUCUGGAUACAAAAAGGGAUUUCGUCAUAUACUGUGACGUUUCUCGUCAAGGAAUAGGUUGUGUCCUGAUGCAGGAUCGCAAGGUGAUUGCUUAUGCUUCACGUCAACUGCGUGCUCAUGAAGAGAACUACCCAGUUCAUGAUCUCGAGCUUGCCGCAGUUAUCCAUGCACUGAAAGAAUGGCGACAAUACCUUGUCGGUAAUCGCUGUGAAAUCUACACCGACCAUCAAAGUCUGAAGUACUUGUUCACUCAACCGGAGCUGAAUCUACGUCAACAAAGAUGGAUGGAGCGUAUAGCAGAUUUUGACUGUAGUAUAUCAUAUACCCCUGGCAAGGCUAACGUAAUGGCUGAUGCCUUGAGUCGCAAGUCAUACUGCAACCACCUCCAGGUUCAUAAGGUUCACGAUCGUCUGCAAGAGGAAUUCCGUAAGCUGAACCCCCAUAUUGUUCCUCGGGGUUACCUUGUUCCCCCUCAUGAAGAGUGUCAAAAGAUGAACCUUCGUUUUGUUAAUCAGGGUUCCCUCAGUAACCUAGUGGUUGAACCAGAUCUUCUGAGCUCCAUAAAGAAUCUGCAAGGCUUUGACGAUGAUGUCGACAGGAUUAAGAGCUAUAUUGCAAAGGAUAAACCCUCCUUUUCACUGUUGCUAAAGAUGGUGCCUUGUACUUCAAGGGUCGCCUAUUCGUCCCAAAUAAGAAGGAAAAUCUCAGGAAGACCGGAGAGGUGAUGAAAGAAGCUCAUGACACACCAUUGUCUAUUCACCCGGGUAGUACCAAGAUGUACCAAGACAUCCGGCAAAGAUUCUGGUGGCCCAAUAUGAAACAAGACAUUGCAGGCUAUGUGGCAGAAUGUGAUAUAUGCCGGCGUAUCAAAGCGGAACAUCAAAAGUCUGCUGGAACUCUGCAACCUAUCUCUAUUCCUGAGUGGAAAUGGGACCAUGUUGAAAUGGACUUUGUCACUGGUUUUCCCAGAUAUCAGAAAGGUAAUGAUGCUAUUCUUGUCGUCAUUGAUCGACUGUCCAAAGUUGCACAUUUCCUGGCCAUCAAAGAAACAAUUAAUGCUAGUCAGCUGGCAGAUCUUUAUCUGUCAAGAGUUGUUUCACUUCACGGUAUUCCGUUGGUCAUCACUUUGGACCGUGGCAGCUUGUUCACUUCAAAAUUCUGGGAAAGUUUUCAGAAGGCUAUGGGGACUCAUCUGUCCUUCAGCACUGCAUUUCACCCUCAAUCCCAGGGACAAGUUGAACGAGUCAACCAAAUUCUCGAGGACAUGCUUCGAGCUUGUGUCAUUUCUUUCGGUAAGAAAUGGGAGGAAUCUCUCCCGUAUGCCGAGUUCUCUUACAACAAUAGCUAUCAAGCUAGUCUGAAGAUGGCCCCUUUCGAAGUAUUGUAUGGAGGAAGGUGUCGAACUCCUCUGAAUUGGUCAGAAACUGGGGAACGAUCACUCUUCGGUCCGGAUAUUAUUCAACAUGCUGAAGAUCAAGUCCGCAUUAUUCAUGAGAAUCUGAAGGCUGCUCAGUCCCGUCAGAAGAGUCAGUAUGAACGUCAUCAUCAAGAUAUGGUCUAUCAACUUGGCGAAAAGGCUUAUCUUCGUUUCACACCAAUGAGAGGUGCACAUCGUUUUGGGAUCAAGGGCAAGUUAGCUCCUCGCUAUAUUGGUCCUUUCACUGUUCUCGAAAGGCGUGGAAGAGUGGCUUAUCAAUUGGAACUGUCGGCGAACCUUUCUCAAGUUCACGAUGUCUUCCAUGUUUCUCAGCUCCGUCGCUGCUUCAAGGAUCCUAUUCGAGUAGUGGAUCAUGGUAUGCUUGAGCUGCAACAAGACCUCUCUUAUAAAGAGCAUCCGGUCCGCAUUCUCGACCAAGCUGAACGUAAGACUCGUCGCAAGGUCACCAAGUUCCUUAAAGUGUAGUGGUCAAAUCAUUGUGAAGAUGAAGCCACUUGGGAACGCGAGGAUCAUCUUCGUGAUGAAUGCCCCGGGCUCUUUCCUUCUACCUCUUAAUUCUUGGGAUGAGAAUUCUUGUUAGUAGGGGAGAAUUGUGACAUCCUCGAAUUUUGCUACAGUGAUGAUUGUAAUUAAGCGGCACUGAUCCCGCGCUAAUGAUGCCACGUCAUCGUUCAUUAUAUCAAUGAUCUCGUGUUGGUUGAAACCGAAUCAAAGUUCGAAACUUAAAAUUAAAGUCAGAUGAGAAAAGAUUUUAUAUUGUUGAAAUAAAACGUCGGGGAGUUAUAAAAAUUCCCUAGUGGAUUAUAAUAUCAAAUCAGGCACUUUAGGAAUUAUGGGUAACCCCUAUAUAUUUAAAAGUGGAGCUUUAAAUCAAAUAAAUAAAAGAAAUAUAGUAAAUGAAAAUAAAUAAAUAUAAGAAAGAAUUAUAAGUAUAUAAAAUAAAUUAUAAAAGAAAGUAAAUAAAAUUAGAUAAUAAAAGGAAUUAGAAAUAAUAAUAAAAACUAACUAGAGGAAACCCCAUGGCCCAAUUCGGCCUAGUGGCCCAGCCGGCCAGGCCAUCCACCAGCCCCGCAGGAAAACCUAGGGGCGCCCCUGGCUCCCCUCGCUCCCUGGCUGCCGCCACCACGUUCCCUCCUCCCCUCGGCACACACCCUCCCGAGCCCCACCUUACCCACCAACCCCACCCACCGAGAGAAUCCUCUCGGCCUCUCUCUCGUUACCCCAACCCCCAUCGACACUUCCUCAUCCACCCCGCUCCCAGAACCCCACUACUGAAAUUCAGAAAUUUGCCGUCUGCCAAAGCAGACGGCAAAGGGUGCAACCACGGACGGCAAAGGCUUUGCCGUCGGUCAGCUGACGGCAAAGUAGACGGUAAAAAAAAUCCGGUGAAGAGGUUCUUUGCCGUCUACUUUCCCAAAGCAGACGGCAAAGAAUCUUUGCCAUGAGGGGGCAGACGGCAAGUUAACUCGGACGGCAUAUAUUGCAACGUCCCCGUUANNNNNNNNNNNNNNNNNNNNNNNNNNNNNNNNNNNNNNNNNNNNNNNNNNNNNNNNNNNNNNNNNNNNNNNNNNNNNNNNNNNNNNNNNNNNNNNNNNNNUAUUAAAUAGGUCAUUUUGGAGCUAACUAAGCUAAUUAUGUNNNNNNNNNNAGAGGAGAAGGAGAGGAGAAGAAGAAGAAAAUAAGAAGGAGAAGGAGAAGGAGGAAGAAGGAGGAAGAAGAAGGAGAAGGAGGAGCUCCUUCUCCUUCUUCUCCUCCUUCUUCUCCUUCUUCUUAUCCUCCUCCCUCUCCUUCUUCUUCUUCUCCUCUUCUUCUUCUUCCUUCCUUUCAUUUUUCCUCUUUCUUCUCCUCUCGUCCCCUUCUUCGGGCUAAAUUGGAUAAGAAUGCCUUUUUGGAGCUAAUUAUGUCAUUUUGAGGAUAAUUAGCUAAGUAUAGGCCAUUUUUUAUUAAAUAGGUCAUUUUGGAGCUAACUAAGCUAAUUAUGUCAUUUAGAUGGAUAAUUAGCCAAUUUAGGCUUUCUUGGAUGAGUCUAAGCUACGUAGAAGAAGAGAAAGAGAAGAAGAAGUAAAAGAAGGAGGAGGAGGAGGAGGAGAAGGAGAGGAGAAGAAGAAGAAAAGAAGAAGGAGAAAGAGAAGGAGGAAGGAGGAAGAAGAAGGAGAAGGAGGAGCUCCUUCUCCUUCUUCUCCNNNNNNNNNNNNNNNNNNNNNNNNNNNNNNNNNNNNNNNNNNNNNNNNNNNNNNNNNNNNNNNNNNNNNNNNNNNNNNNNNNNNNNNNNNNNNNNNNNNNAUUCAAAUAGGUCAUAAUUCCUUAUGACCAGGGGUAUUUUUUGCUUUACUUUUUGCAUCAACAGUUAGCCUAUGCAUUUAUUUUUGUUGUUUGUGUUGGUUUUAAAUAAGAAACCCCAGUGGGUUUCUUUUCCUCUAUCAUGUGCCAGCAUGGGCCUCUUUCUCCCUCCCGAGGCCCAUCUCCCUCUCUGUUUCCCAGCGAGAUCCCAAGCGCGCUCCUUCUUCUUCUCCUGACGGCGUGUCUUCCCCCCGUGCACGCUUUCCGUCAGAGACUCCAGUGAGAGAGCGAGCGACGCUGUGAGGCUCACGGACGUCGAGGCCCAUAUAUUCCUCAAUGUGCGUGCCCCCUUUGGCCUAGGGUUCCGCGUCCCCCUCCUAGCGCCGCCACUUUUCCCCUCCAUCUCCUUCUUCCUCCCUAAGGUAAGAUCUGUAGAGGUAGCAGAGAGUAGAGCAGUAGGCCGCCGCCGUCGUCCACCGUGCGUGCCUCGUCUCCGGUGCCGGCCAGCAUGUCACGGAGCUCGGGGAAGGCCUCCACGUUCCAUUCCCGUCAUCGAUGAGGCCGGGGAGCGACCACACCGACAGGCAGCUCCUCCUCUCCGGCGUGUUCCCGGCGGCCCCGUUCCUGCUUCGGUUCUGCGACACAUCAUCUACAGGCUUCUUCAGAUCGUCGUCAGAUCUUCUUCAGGCUUCUUCCCCGAUCGGCGUCCUCUUCUCCUUUCUCUAGGUUAUCCUAGCUCUUCCUCCCUUCCCCUUCGUUAGAUCCGGCCGAUGAGCGUUGCUGUGCCUCUGUUCGAAGAGGAGAACGAUAGUGCCUGUCUGGAUGUGUUGUUCUUUGUGUGUGUGCUCUGCUCGUCGUGGCUCAGGGAAACGGCUUCCCACGCAGCAGUAGUGGAGAGUAGAUGAACCCCGCGGCGCAGCAGCAGGAGUAGGACACCGCUCCGGUGGCGUUGCUGCAUCGUUCCUCUGUGUAGAGCAGAGCAGGGCGAUCUAUGCUCUGGUAUAGGUUACCUUGUUAAUNNNNNNNNNNCCUUGUUCUGUCAAGUCUCAUAGCGCAGCGUAGUGGUUUGCAGUGUAUUGUGUUGAUCAGGCGGUCGUGGGUUCGAGGCCCCGCGGUGCCACCCCCUUUUUGGUGUUUAUUUUGGCACAAUAGCUGCAAGGGGACAGUUUACCCUGCUUGUUCCCCUUGUUCUGUCAAGCAAGGUGCAGUAGAAGGAUUGGUUUGCUUGUGUGUGUGUGUGUCCAGGGGCACCUGGGUUCGAGUCCCUCCAAACCCCUUUUGUAUUUUUUUGCUUAUUCCAUGCUGUUUUCUCUUUUGCUUGAAAGAUUGGUGCUACAGCUUGCUUAGUCACCAUGCGGGGUAUUUUAUUUUGCCUCACAAGCAGCAUGUUGUCUCUGGUAUUUAACUAGUAUGUGUAGAAAUGCAUGUGGGANNNNNNNNNNGCCCUUUUGUAUUUUUUGCUUAUUCCUUGCUGUUUUAUCUUUUGAUUGCAAGAUUGGUGCUACAACUUGCUUAGUCACCAUGUGGGGUAUUUUAUUUCUCCUCACAAGCAACAUGUUGUCUCUGGUAUUUAACUAGUAUGUGUAGAAAUGCAUGUGGGAUAAUUGUGUGAGUGUAAGUGUGAGCUAAGUCAUGUGUGUGUGCGUAUGCACUAGGUUUGAAUGUGAAGAUGUAUGUGGUGUGUUUCUCUUAUGCUUGGUGUUGAUCUCAUGCACUAGUGGGUGCAAUAGGUGUGUGUGUGUGUGUGGGUCCCCCCCACAUACCUUGUGUUUAUUUGUGCUUAGGUUUAUGACUACAUGUGGUGCAACUCCUAUGCAUGUUUACUUGUGNNNNNNNNNNGUGCAUAGGUUUAUGACUACAUGUGGUGCAACUCCUAUGCAUGUUUACUUGUGUGGUGCAAGCAUCCAAGAGUGGUGUAUGAACAUAUCUCCAUGUGCAUGUGAUUGUGAGUUUUACUUAUGAUGUGUGCUUGUGCGUGUGUGUGUCACACACAUGCCCAAGGCAUGAUGUGCCUUGAUGAGCANNNNNNNNNNCGCACCCAAGAGUGGUGUAUGUACAUAUCUACAUGUGCAUGUGAUUGUGAGUUUUACUUAUGAUGUGUGCUUGUGUGUGUGUGUGUCACACACAUGCCCAAGGCAUGAUGUGCCUUGAUGAGCACAUGAGCAGCUAGUAUGUAUGGAUGUGUAGGAAUGCAUGUUAUGAAGUGUGUGUGUGUGAAUGGUGAUGUGCUAUGCCACACAUACAUGAGGUCUAAAUCCUCAUGUCACCAUUGGAGUGUUGAUAGUGUGCAUAUGGUUGUGUAGGNNNNNNNNNNUGAAUAGUGAUGUGCUAUGGCACACAUACAUGCGGUCUAAACCCUCAUGUCACCAUUGGAGUGUUGAUAGUGUGCAUAUGGUUGUGUAGGUAAUGAUCUAGUGAGAAGCACAUGUGAUGAUGCACUAUUCACCUCUAUGUGAUUCCAUGUAUAUCUUCUUCUUAGCUUUGUGCUCAUUUGUUCUAUGCAAGUGCAUAUGUAUUAUAUAUGUUUUUGGCGUAGAAUCAUCCCAGGAAUCCAAUGGUGGGUUCAGAUUCCACUUUGGAACACAUUCUCGGAAUGUCAUAUUUCUGUUUCGUUCAAUGUUUAGAGCUUGGUUCCAUGUGAUGUGAUGAGCCCAAGAGGUUGAAUCCUUGUUCUGGCAGUAGAGGGUGAACCCCCCUAUAGCAUGUUGGUUUUGUUUCAUGCUUAGGAGUUCAUAUGUGCAUGUUGUGCCUAGUCAAAGUAGGCAUGUGGCUGAAAAUUCCAGUUUCACUAAGUCUGAGAAUCUGCUUAUAUUUUCUUCUCCUGUUGUUGUGCUUGUANNNNNNNNNNNNNNNNNNNNNNNNNNNNNNNNNNNNNNNNNNNNNNNNNNNNNNNNNNNNNNNNNNNNNNNNNNNNNNNNNNNNNNNNNNNNNNNNNNNNUAUAAAUAUAUCAUCUUUGACACCGUCUAUGAUUGUGAACACUAAUUAAAGUAUUACAUGCUAAGAGGUAGAUGUUGGACAAGGAAGACAACAUAAUGAAUUAUGUUUGCUUGGUUCCGAACAAUGUUAUAUGACUAGAGAUCCCUUAGCAUAUGACGAUUGCUUCCACCUCAUAUCAGCCAAAACUUCUGCACUAAGUAGAGAUACUACUUGUGCAUCCAUAAACCCUCAACCCAGUUUUGCCAUGUGAGUCCACCAUACCUACCUAUGGAUUGAAUAAGAUCCCUCAAGUAAGUUGUCAUCGGUGCACGCAACAAAAAUUGCUCCCUGAAUAUGUAUGAUCUAUUAGUGUGUGGAAAACAAGCUUUGUACGAACCUGUGAUGAGGAAGACAUAAAAGCGACAGACUGCAUAAUAAAGUUCUUUAUCACAGGAGGCAAUAUAAAGUGACGUUCCUUCACACUAAGAGGUCACACAUCCAAACCUCAAAAGCGCAUGACAACCUCUGCUUCCGUCUGCGAAGAGCCUAUCUUGUACCUUUAUUUUUUAUCUUUAAAAGAGUCGUGGUGAUCAACACCAAUUCCUUAUUUCGCCAUUAUCUUGGCUAAUGUCAUGUGCUAGGGAAAGAUCUAUAUUCAUAUGUCAACUUGGAAGUAAGUAAUCAUGAAUUAUUAUUGUUGACAUUACCAUUGAGGUAAAUAGUUGGGAGGCGAAACUAUAAGCCCCUAUCUUUCUCUGUGUCCAAGUGAAACUUUGAUCUCAUGACCAUCAUGUGAGUUUUAGCAAUUGUAGAAGACUAAAAGAUGAUUGAGUAUGUGGAUUUGCUUUACAAGCUCUUAGUUGACUCUUUCUGAUGUUAUGAUAAAUAACAAUUGCUUCAAUGACUAAAGACUUUUGGUUGUUAAUUCUCCAUAAGGUUCUUGACCCAUACUUUACAUUGUGAAGGAAUUGCCACUUUAGCAUAAGAGAUUAUAUGACGAUAUUGCUGUUCUAAAUAUGAUCAUGAUGCUUGCAUGUCCGUAUUUUGUUUUAUCGGCACCUCUAUCUCUAAACAUGUGGGCAUAUUUAUUGAUCUCGGCUUCCGCUUGAGGACAAGCGAGGUUUAAGCUUGGGGGAGUUGAUACGUCCAUUUUGCAUCAUGCUUUUAUGUUGAUAUUUAUCGCAUUAUGGGUUGUUAUUACACUUUACGGUACAAUACUUAUGCCUUUUUCUCUCUUAUUUUAUAAGGUUUACAUGAAGAGGGAGAAUGCUCACAGUUGGAAUUCUGGGCUGAAAAAGGAGCAAGUUUGAGAUACCUAUUCUGCAUAACUCCAAAAGCCAUGAAAAUCAACGAGGAAUUAUUUUGGAAUAUAUAAAAAAAUACUGGGUGGAAGAAACACUCGAGGGGAGCCACCAGGAGGCCACAAGCCUACCAGGCGCGCCCUACCCCCCUGGUCGCGCCUGGUUGGCUUGUGGGCCCCUGUUACCCCUCCGGCUCCCAUCUUCUUCUAUAAGGAGAGUUUCGUCCCAUAAAAAAAUAAGAGGCGGCUUUCUGGAAGAGACGCCGCCGCCACGAGGCGGAACUUGAGCAGAACCAAUCUAGAGCUCCGGCAGGGCAGUCCUGUCGGGAAACUUCCCUCCUUGAGGGGGAAAUCGUCUCCAUCGUCAUCACCAACACUCCUCUCAUUGUAGGGGACUCAUCUCCAUCAACAUCUUCAUCAGCACCAUCUCAUCUCCAAACCCUAGUUCAUNNNNNNNNNNCGCGACUCCGAUUGGUACUUGUAAGGUUGGUAGUAGUGUUAAUUACUCUUUGUAGUUGAUGCUAGUUGGAUUACUCGGUGGAAGAUCAUAAGUUCAAAUCCUUAAUGAUAUUCAAUACCUCUAUGAUCAUGAACAUAAUUAUGCUUUGUGAGUAGUCACUUUUGUUCCUGAGGACAUGGGAUAAGUCUUGCUAUAAGUAGUCAUGUGAAUUUGGUAUUCGUUCGAUAUUUUGAUGCGUUGUAUGUUGUCUUUCCUCUNNNNNNNNNNNNNNNNNNNNNNNNNNNNNNNNNNNNNNNNNNNNNNNNNNNNNNNNNNNNNNNNNNNNNNNNNNNNNNNNNNNNNNNNNNNNNNNNNNNNCUCCUCCCACCUCGAGCCGACAGGAGCCUCCCAUCUCGCAACCCCCAGAUCCCCCGUCGGCCCCACUUCCUCCCUCUAGGACCGAGCCCCUUCCCCGCCGGCCGAAGCCCAUACCCCCAAGAACCCCAUCUCGCCGAGCGGAGCUCCCCGUCGGCGGCUCCAUCCCAGGGGCCCUCCUCACCGGGGCCCCUCUCGGCACGACCUCAUCGGCACCACCACCGCCGUCACCACCGUCACCGCUUCGUCCUCCUCCUCGCCAUCACCUCCGCCUCACGAGAACUCCGGCUUCACCGUGCCCUCUCGUCAACGUCGGUGAGCCCCUCCUCGGUCUCCUCCCACCAUCUCCUUCCUCGCGUCGUCCCGGUUCCGUUUCGGCAAACGGCGUUCCGAUCCGACGCCGUUAGGUUCGCGUAGGUGAUCUUGGAGAUGUGUCCCUCUCUUUGUGAUGUUGAGUUCACUGUUAAACACAGAGGUUGGAGAGAGAGAGUCUUUGAAAGAAAUAGAAAUAAAUGUUGUAUUGCGUAUGUAUGUAUGUAUAAAUGUCGUACGUAUUUUGUAUGUAUGAGAUGCACGUAUGUAUGUAUUUAUGUAUGUCGGUAUAUGGCGGUAUACGUUAAUUGUAUGGAUAUGUAUCUAUGGGUAAAAAUGUGUAUUUGGCCUAAGCCACUUACCGGUGGGCCAACCCACCCCGCUGUCUAUGACACGGAGGCCCCACACCCUCUUUUGAGAAAAUGUGAAAAUUAAAAUAUAAAUAUAAUAUAAUAUUUUUAUUAAUAAAUAAAUAGAUAUAUUAAUUAAUUAAUUAAUUGGGUAAUUAGAAUAAUUAGAGUAUGACACGUGGGUCCCCCACUAAAUUAAUCUGAUUAAUUACUAUUCAAUCUUAAUUAAAAACUUGUGUCUAUGACGCUCGGGACCCACUAGUCAGUUGACCAGUCAACUGUUGAUGUCAGCGUGACAUCAUGCUGAUGUCAUAAUAGCAUUUAAUUUAAUUAAUUAAAUUUGUUUUUAAUUCCUAAUUAUUGAAUAGAACUUUAAAAAUUAAUAUUAAUUAAUCCGUAAGUGAGAUCAAAAUAUUUUCAACAUGAAAGUUGAUCAGCAGAACGAGACGAACCUGGAUCCACUGUCCAUUCGUUUGUCACGCGUCCCUAGCAUAGCAAACAUGGAACAUUUCCAUCGUUUUCCAUCUGUCCGGUAGUAGCCCGAGACCCGGAAAAUAUCAUUAGAUAUUCUUCCGACCCGUCUAUGACCGAUGUUGUUGCGUUAGCUCAUGUCUAGCCUGCAUCUUGCCAUGUCAUGCUUUGUGUNNNNNNNNNNGUCAGAUAUUCUUCCAACCCGUCUAUGACGGAUGUUCCUGCGUUAGCUCAUGUCUAGCCUGCAUCUUGCCAUGUCAUGCUUUGUGUUGCAUCGUUGCUAUUAUUUAUUGUUUCUUCCCCCUCUUCUUACCGGUAGACCCCGAGGCUGGCGCUGAUGCCGGGUACAUCUACGACCCUACCGAUCAGUCCUUUGCUGCACAGCAGCAAGGUAAGCAAACCCCCCUUGAUCAUUCCUAUAUCGCCUAUGUCUUUCUUCCUACUGCCCGCAUUUGUAUUUUGCUACUGUUGUAGUUAGCUCCUAUAUCUGAUGCAUAGCCCAUUUUUGAUGAACUGCUACUUUCAGUCAUGUACCUUUAAUAUGCUUAGNNNNNNNNNNACGCUGCUGCCGGGUACAUCUACGACCGUGUCGAUCAGUCCUUUGCCGCAGAGCAGCAAGGCAGGCAAACCCCCCUUGAUCAUUCCUAUAUCGCCUAUGUCUUUCUUCCUACUACUCGCAUUAGUAUUUUGCUACUGUUGUAGUUAGCUCCUAUAUCUGAUGCGUAGCCUAUUUUUGAUGAACUGCUACUUUCAGUCAUGUACCUUUAAUAUGCUUAGUAUAGGUGGAGCAGUCAUCCCCUCUGACCCCGUAGUCCAGUUGCCCCGCUUGUUUUCAAAUCUCGAUCCCUCAUCGACGAGCCAGACCCGACACAGCACAUGCACCCCCCUUAGUUGUAUGACGCUACAGAGAUACUAUCGGGUACCAAGGGUGACACCUCGCUAAGUACUCCUGAUGAUAUCUCUGUAGUAUAGCNNNNNNNNNNNNNNNNNNNNNNNNNNNNNNNNNNNNNNNNNNNNNNNNNNNNNNNNNNNNNNNNNNNNNNNNNNNNNNNNNNNNNNNNNNNNNNNNNNNNCGGUCGUGGUUAUAGAGGGUGAUUCAUCUUUCACCAUUCCCAAUGAUGCCCCUGUCGUGCAACCCCUCAAGUGUAGGACCCCCGAGGGUGAUUCCUCUAAGCCCACCUUGACGGAUACAUCGUUCGUAAUCCAACGANNNNNNNNNNGACGUCGGCCGCCCUCGCAUCGUGCAGGAGCGCAAAGGGGAACUGGGCCCAUGAACCCUUUGCGCUUAGGAUUUAGACCGACUGGCAGGCCUCUCUGAUUAGUCUUAGGUGAGGCUGCGACGUAUCGAUAUUCCGAGGCCGGGCAGGACCCAAAAAAGUGUGUCCGGCCAGAGUGUUAUCGAGCGUGACGGGACAUGUGGUGCACCCCUGCAGGGAUGAAAAUUAACUAUUCGAAUAGCCGUGUUCACGGUUACAGUACGACUUGGAGUUGGGCCCUGAUCUUAUACAACUACAAUUUUUACUUAACUGGAUCAUUAGUUUGCCUCGGGUUUCCUUCCUCGCAGGGAGUCGAGGGAGGAUCUCUGGGCGUGACCUCACUUUAAUAAUGCUGCAACAAUAUGGCUAUUAAUGUGUUACCCCUGUUCGACUCUCGUCUAUUGCUGCAAGACCCUAAAGAUCCUAGUCUUCGAUAGGACUAGGCCUUCUCUCUCUAUUCUCGCAUUGCUGCAGUCAGUCNNNNNNNNNNUAUAUAACCACCACCCCCCUUCUUUGAUACUGAUGCAUACUUAGAAUAGUUCUGAUGUAAGACUUGCGAGUACUUUGGAUGAGUACUUACCGCUGCUUUGCUCCCCCCUUGUCCCCAUGAUCCGUUUGCUGCAACCAGAUGAUGGAGCCCAGGAGAUGGAGGCUCCCGCCGACGAUGACUGCUACCCCGACGGUGCCUACUUCUACGUGGAGGCCGCUGAUGAUCAGGAGUAGUUAGGAGGCUCCCAGGCAUGAGGCCUCGCCUCGUUCGAUCGUUGUAUCUUUUGUGCUAGCCUUCUCUAAGGCACCCNNNNNNNNNNNNNNNNNNNNNNNNNNNNNNNNNNNNNNNNNNNNNNNNNNNNNNNNNNNNNNNNNNNNNNNNNNNNNNNNNNNNNNNNNNNNNNNNNNNNGAGAAGGAGCUCCUCCUUCUCCUUCUUCUUCCUCCUUCCUCCUUCUCUUUCUCCUUCUUCUUUUCUUCUUCUUCUCCUCUCCUUCUCCUCCUCCUCCUCCUUCUUUUACUUCUUCUUCUCUUUCUCUUCUUCUACGUAGCUUAGACUCAUCCAAGAAAGCCUAAAUUGGCUAAUUAUCCAUCUAAAUGACAUAAUUAGCUUAGUUAGCUCCAAAAUGACCUAUUUAAUAAAAAAUGGCCUAUACUUAGCUAAUUAUCCUCAAAAUGACAUAAUUAGCUCCAAAAAGGCAUUCUUAUCCAAUUUAGCCCGAAGAAGGGGACGAGAGGAGAAGAAAGAGGAAAAAUGAAAGGAAGGAAGAAGAAGAAGAGGAGAAGAAGAAGAAGGAGAGGGAGGAGGAUAAGAAGAAGGAGAAGAAGGAGGAGAAGAAGGAGAAGGAGCUCCUCCUUCUCCUUCUUCUUCCUCCUUCUUCCUCCUUCUCCUUCUCCUUCUUAUUUUCUUCUUCUUCUCCUCUCCUUCUCCUCUUCCUCCUCCUCCUCCUCCUUCUUUUACUUCUUCUUCUCUUUCUCUUCUNNNNNNNNNNNNNNNNNNNNNNNNNNNNNNNNNNNNNNNNNNNNNNNNNNNNNNNNNNNNNNNNNNNNNNNNNNNNNNNNNNNNNNNNNNNNNNNNNNNNUCUGCCCCCUCAUGGCAAAGAUUCUUUGCCGUCUGCUUUGGGAAAGUAGACGGCAAAGAACCUCUUCACCGGAUUUUUUUUACCGUCUACUUUGCCGUCAGCUGACCGACGGCAAAGCCUUUGCCGUCCGUGGUUGCACCCUUUGCCGUCUGCUUUGGCAGACGGCAAAUUUCUGAAUUUCAGUAGUGGGGUUCUGGGAGCGGGGUGGAUGAGGAAGUGUCGAUGGGGGUUGGGGUAACGAGAGAGAGGCCGAGAGGAUUCUCUCGGUGGGUGGGGUUGGUGGGUAAGGUGGGGCUCGGGAGGGUGUGUGCCGAGGGGAGGAGGGAACGUGGUGGCGGCAGCCAGGGAGCGAGGGGAGCCAGGGGCGCCCCUAGGUUUUCCUGCGGGGCUGGUGGAUGGCCUGGCCGGCUGGGCCACUAGGCCGAAUUGGGCCAUGGGGUUUCCUCUAGUUAGUUUUUAUUAUUAUUUCUAAUUCCUUUUAUUAUCUAAUUUUAUUUACUUUCUUUUAUAAUUUAUUUUAUAUACUUAUAAUUCUUUCUUAUAUUUAUUUAUUUUCAUUUACUAUAUUUCUUUUAUUUAUUUGAUUUAAAGCUCCACUUUUAAAUAUAUAGGGGUUACCCAUAAUUUCUAAAGUGCCUGAUUUGAUAUUAUAAUCCGCUAGGGAAUUUUUAUAACUCCCCGACGUUUUAUUUCAACAAUAUAAAAUCUUUUCUCGUCCGACUUUAAUUUUAAGUUUGGAACUUUGAUUCGGUUUCAACCAACACGAGAUCAUUGAUAUAAUUAACGAUGACGUGGCCUGAUUAGCACGGGAUCACUGUCGCUUAAUUACAANNNNNNNNNNNNNNNNNNNNNNNNNNNNNNNNNNNNNNNNNNNNNNNNNNNNNNNNNNNNNNNNNNNNNNNNNNNNNNNNNNNNNNNNNNNNNNNNNNNNAAGCUUAUUGGGCAAUCAAAGAGCUCAACUUUGAUUUCAAACUAGCUGGUGAGAAGAGGUUAUUUGACAUUAGCUCGCUUGAUGAGUGGAGAACUCAGGCAUAUGAGAAUGCCAAGUUGUUCAAAGAAAAGGUUAAGAGGUGGCAUGAUAAGAGGAUACAAAAGAGUGAGUUCAAUGUAGGUGAUUAUGUCUUGCUAUAUAAUUCUCGUUUAAGAUUCUUUGCACGCAAGCUUCUCUCUAAAUGGGAAGGUCCCUAUAUUGUUGAGGAAGUAUAUCGUUUCGGUGCUAUCAAGAUCAACAACACGAAAGGUAAUUGUCCGAGAGUGGUAAAUGGGCAGAGAAUCAAGCAUUAUAUCUUAGGUACUUCCAUAAAUGUUGAAAGCAAUAUCAUCAAUACCAUAACUGCGGAGGAAUACCUAAGGGAUGUUUAUCAGCCUGUUUCAGACUCCAAAAAUGAAGAGGUAUGUGAUUCGGUAAGAAAACAGAUUCCAAAACUUUUCCAAUAGGAUUUUUUCUCCGUUUUGGAAUAUUUGAAAAAAUAGAAAAAUUGGAAGUAGUCCGGAAAGCGCGCGAGGAGGCGACAAGCCUGCCAGGCGCGGGCCCACCCCCUGGCCGCGCCUCGGGGCUUGUGGCCACCUCGUGUGCCUCCCGGACUCCAUUUUCGUGCGGAGUACUCCUUCUAGUCUAGAAAAAAAUCAAUAUAUAUUCUCCCGUAAGGUCUGACCCCUGUAUCACGCAGAUUUCCUCUAUUUUUCGUUUCGAGCCUGUUUGUGUUGCAGAUCUAGAUCGCUAUGACUUCCCCAAAAGCUUCGAAGGACAAGAUCUUCGAGAAGGUCAUCAAUCCCUACCUCACGGGAGUGCUGCAACACCCUCAAUCUAUCGAGAUGCGUGAGGGGAUGUUGCACAUCUGUGAUGUUGAGGGGCCCAAGAAGACCGGAAGCAUGGAGACGAGGCUCGAAGCAAUGGAGCAACAAGUCUUCAAGUGCCAAGGGAUGGUGGAGCGUGGACUCAACGCCAACCACAUGAUGAUCACGGAGUUCACCAACAAGCACAAGAUUGAUGCCAAUGACAUUGGGAAGCACCUCUCCAGGCUCUAUGACAUGAUUGAUCAACUCGAGGCCCAGAUCUAUGACCUGCAGAACCAAAACUGUGAGUAUGAGUAUAGAUUUAAAUCAAUACGGUUGGCUGCAAAUUUGAGGAUUCCGGGGACUCGUUCCUCUUUCCAUGAUGGAGCACCUAUGCCUUGGAAUACGGAGGAUCAAGCCCAUGUUGCAACAACUCCACCACCAUCACCUCCAAAGGAAGACAACUGAGAAUGGGUAUGGGCAAUCCCCUUGGCUUGUGCCAAGCUUGGGGAGUUGCCCCGGUAUCGUAUCACCAUCACAUCUUUUGCCUUUACCUUUGUUUUAGUUUGUUCCUUUUCAGUUUUCUUUUUCUCUAGUAGUUUAAAAGUCUUAGUGUUUUAGUCUUGAGUUUUGCCUUGUGUCACCCCUGAUGUAUUCGAGCUCGUGAGACAUAUAAUAAAGAGUGUCUUAGUUGAAGGGCUUUGCCUCUUGCCAUGAUCAAAAGAGUGAGAAAAGAACAAAAGCAUGAAAGAUCAUGUAAUGAUCUUAUGGGAAGUGAUGGCUUCACAUAUAAAAAGAAUGAUGAUUGGAACUUGUUGAGGGUAGACAAACGUAGACCUUGGUCAUUGUUGCAAUUAAUAGGAAGUGAUAAGGAAGGAGAGGUUCACAUAUAAAUAUAUCAUCUUUGACACCAUCUAUGAUUGUGAAUACUCACUAAACUAUUGCAUGCCUAGAAGUAGAUGUUGGACAAGGAAGACAACAUAAUGAAUUGUGUUUGUUUGGUUCCGAACAAUGUUAUAUGAUUAGAGAUCUCUUAGCAUGUGACGAUUGCUUCCACCUCAUAUUAUCCAAAACUCCCGCACCAAGUAGAGAUACUACUUGUGCAUCCAUAAACCUUCAACCCAGUUUUGCCGUGAGAGUCCACCAUACCUACCUAUGGAUUGGAUAAGAUCGCUCAAGUAAGUUGUCAUCGGUGCAAGCAAUAAAAAAUGCUCCCUAAUAUGUAUGAUCUGUUAGUGUGUGGAAAAUAAGCUUUGUACGAACCUGUGAUGAGGAAGACAUAAAAGCGACAGACUGCAUAAUAAAGUUCUUUAUCACUAAUGUUGUGAUAAAUUUCAAUUGCUUCAAUGACUAAAGGCUAUCGGUUGUUACUUCUCGGUAAGGUUCUUGAUCCAUACUUUACUUUGUGAAGGAAUUGUCACUUUAGCAUGGGAGAUUAUAUGUUGGUAUUGUUGUUCUGAUCAUGAUCAUGAUGCCUGCAUGUUCGUAUCUUGUUUUGUCGACACCUCUCUCCCUAAACAUAUGGACAUAUUUAUUGAGCUAGGCUUUCGCUUGAGGACAAGCAAGGUCUAAGCUUGGGGGAGUUGAUACGUCCAUUUUGCAUCAUGCUUUUAUGUUGAUAUUUAUCGCUUCUUGGGCUGUUAUUUCACUUCACGGUACAGUUCUUAUGCCUUUUCUCUCUUAUUUUGCAAGGUUUACUUGAAGAAGGAGAAUGCCGGCAGCUGGAAUUCUAGCCUGAUAUUGGAGCAAGUUUGAGAUACCUAUUCUGCGCAACUCCAAACGCCGUAAAAAUCAACAAGGAUUUUUUUCCGGAUUUAUAAAAAAUACUGGGCCGAAAAAGUGCCGGAGGAGCGUAACCAGGGAGCCACAAGCCUGGUAGGCGCGGCCACCCCCUGGCUGCGCCUAGGGGGCUUGUGGGCCCCCUGCCGGACCACUGCCCCCCUCUUCUGCUAUAUGAAGGGUUUUGUCUGGGAAAAAAUCAAGAGGAGGCUUUUUCGAGGAUUCGCCGCCGCCACGAGGCGGAACUUGAGCAGAACCAAUCUAGAGCUCCCGCAGGACGAUUCUGCCAGGGAAACUUCCCUCCUAGAGGGGGAAAUCGUCGCCAUCGUCAUCACCAACACUCCUCUCAUCGGAGGGGACUCAUCACCAUCAACAUCUUCAUCAGCACCAUCUCAUCUCCAAACCCUAGUUCAUCACUUGUAACCAAUCUCCGUCUCGCGACUCCGAUUGGUACUUGUAAGGUUGCUAGUAGUGUUAAUUACUCCUUGUAGUUGAUGCUAGUUGGAUUACUUGGUGGAAGAGUUUAUGUUCAUAUCUUUGAUGCUACUCAUUACCUCUCUGGUCAUGAAUAUGAUUAUGCUUUGUGAGUAGUNGAACGUCGACUACAUAACACUUCACCAUUAUUUGGGCCUAGAGGAAGGCAUUGGGAAGUAGUAAGUAGAUGAUGGGUUGCUAGAGUGACAGAAGCUUAAACCCUAGUUUAUGCGUUGCUUCGUAAGGGGCUGAUUUGGAUCCACUAGUUUAAUGCUAUGGUUAGACUUUGUCUUAAUUCUUCUUUCGUAGUUGCGGAUGCUUGUGAGAGGGGUUAAUCAUAAGUGGGAUGCUUGUCCAAGUAAGGGCAGUACCCAAGCGCCGGUCCACCCACAUAUCAAACUAUCAAAGUAACGAACGCGAAUCAUAUGAACAUGAUGAAAACUAGCAUGACAAAAAUUCCCAUGUGUCCUCGGGAGCGUUUUCCCUCCUAUAAGACUUUGUCCAGGCUUGUCCCUUGCUAUAAAAGGGAUUGGGCCACUUUGCUGCACCAUUGCUACUUUUGUUACUUGUUGUUUGCUACGAAUCAUCUCACCACACAACCACUUGUUACCGAUAAUUUCAGUGCUUGCAGAUAUUUCCUUGCUGAAAACCACUUGUCAGAUCCUUCUGCUCCUCGUUGGGUUCGACACUCUUACUUAUCGAAAGGACUAAGAUAGAUCCCCUAUACUUGUGGGUCAUCAAAGACCGCGAGUGAUGAGGACGAACUCUGACGACAACGACGGCAUGACUCAUUGGCUUCUCGUGGUCCGGACUCUGGUGAAGACUCGAGCAGACCGAGGUGGUGAUAUGUAGAAGGUGAAGGAAAGGAAAUACAAGGAUUUUGGUUGGUCUAUUUAUAAGGGGGGAGUGAACCCGAAACGACAUGACAAAAAUAGUGGAGUUAUAAUGAUUAACAACGGCUAGGUUGCCUCAAUUUUUGUGCCUCACCAGAUUUGGCGGUUGUUAAAUUAAGAUUCGCCAUCAUGACAUGUCCACGUCAGCAGCCAGCAUGAUGAUAUCAUGGAGAAGGAGGUAAAAAAGAAACUAAGUAUUGAACAGAAGAAAUAAGCCGACAUAUUAUUGACCCGGACACAUCAUCAGCAAGGAGAAAAAAUACCGUCUAAAGGGUAAAAGGAUCAAAACUUAACUUCAUUUGUGCCCGCUCUUUUUCUUUGUGAGGAUGGAGUUUAACAUGGAUGAAACCAAAUUAAACCGGGGGCUAAUGUUGGGGAUAUACCCCAUGACGUGACCCACCCAGGGGAUGACCCGACCUUUCUAAUUCAGCCCAAGAACAAGAUUAUUCAUAUGAUACAUGAGGCCUAGGGGGCGGCUCAUCCUGAAGGUCGGGUUGAAGAAGAUCACCUGGUGGGCCGGCUUAUUACAGAAGACACAAGAAGCUUUCCCUACUUAGAUGACAAGAUGAGUAGGAAUUAGACUAGGUCACAGGUUGCAGUACGACCCGGACUCUGUUGUAAUCUCAGGGCCUCAACCUAUGUAUAAAAGGUGAGCCCGUGAGGUAGAGGGGACAUGUUAGAAAUUCUCGAGAGCUAGGUUAGCGAUUCCACACCCCUGUAGUCGAGAUCAUCAUCACUAACACCAAAAGCACGACGUAGGCUUUUACCUGUACCGGAGGGGCCGAACCUGGGUAAAGUCUCGUCUCUCAUUCUCGAUCAACCCCAUCCAAGCAACCACCUAGUUCAGAUGGCCCCUAUACUUAGUCCUAUCACGAGAACAUCUGGCGUGACAAAACCACGACACCCCCGGCCUCUACAUCUGGGCGAUGCAUGCAUCCAUUUUAUUAAUUAUUCACAAAGACUACACAAAAUAAUACAUCAGUAAGCCUGAAGUCACCAUCUUGGCAACACGUGUCGCUACUCCUAUCCCCUUGAUAAAGGGGUGCCGAAUGUCCGAGCCGAAUACCAAACAAACAUCGUACCAAAGCCUAACAUCUAAAUAGGGAUGUCCCAACCAAGCUACAAUGCCGUGACUGGGUCACACACCGGUCUGGUGCACUCUAAUAGGCCGCCGCCACCAUCCUCCACUGAUCCAUCUUGAGAGCACGUACUAACGCAACAACCUUUCCACGCGUGCCAUCGACGCCACCACGACGUUAGACAACGCCCACCAUCCUGCAUGUAUCCAUGCACACAUGUCCGUCGCCGAAACUCCGCAAUGCCAUGCUGUCGGGAUCCACUGUCGGCCUUGCGGUAGAUAUAACACCGCUUCUCCCGUUGUCCCCUCCAGCCAGCACUUUCUCCACCAGGAGGAAGAGCGACAUUGAGAGUGUCGUCAUCGUUCGGUCCGGGAGGCCCAGAUUUAGGGUUUCCCUCAGAGCAUCCCGGGCAUGAUGACACAAACUGCAACGAUGAUGCCUCGACAAGGAAACGACAUCGAAGAUGCCGCCAUCAUCGACCAUGACCUUAGUCGGCGCGAUUUUCAUCGACAAUCGUGCCACCAGGCCGUGUGCCGCCAACGCCGCUGGUCCCUUCAACUGGAGCAAACUCCAUAAAUGGUGCCCUCAAAAGGGACUACGACGUACAAGCACCGCAUCGCUCGAUCUCAAGGAGAUUUAGGGUUUCCCCCGAAGUUGUCCACUUUGUGAAGGACCACACAAGGGUUGAAGAUCCACUGAGUUGUCGACAUGCCACACCCGCCAAAGUGCCGUCUGCAACCCGGUGGCCAUGAACGGAAGCCAGACACCGGACAUCACACACACGUUCAGCCACAGGCCACGACCAUAUCUGGUGAGGCCAACGACCCCAUCUUGGUCAUGGCCGCAAGAGCGGGAUCUCCCCGAUGUGGCCAAAGAGCGCCGACACAAGACGAUCCUUGACCUACACAGCCGACCACCGCUCGUUGAGUAUUGCUGCCGUAUGCCCAGAUGCACAUCUAACCGGGACGACGUCAACCGCCACCAGGUCCUGUCGCCCACAGAGCAAGGGAAGGCCGCGAGAGAUGGGCCCCGUCGCCGCCAUCAGCCACACGGGCUAUGCCCGACGGCGUCCUCCGGCGAUGGCAGGUGGGAAGAGAGGAGCCGCCCUCACAUCAUCCUAGGCAUGAGCGACCGAGGGGUUCUAGCGUUCUGUACAUUUAUACAUAAAUAUUAGGAUUAAAUUUUUAAGCGAACCAAUAUAUGGUUGGAUCGUUAAAAGGACAAUAUUAUCUCUCGUCAGAGUUUAAGUCAUAGACUUCAUAUUGCUGCUUGUAUUUUUCUAGAUUCAUUCUAGACCUUUCAGUGAUGUGCGUUAAGUGGGAAGAUACGUUUCUGUCGACUACGAAUGCGUUUGUGUCAACUUCGUCAAUCUUAAAAUGAUGUGUCGACUUAGUGUUUCGAAUGUAGUCAUAAGGGUAAGGUGUGUGUGCGUUUUCAGGAAUGAGUGUAUAUAUGUAUGUAUGAGCGUAAUUCAUCAACUAAAAUAAAUGGAAUUGAAUUCUGGAAACUAGGUGCUAGAGAAAUCAGGGUCGUUAUUCUUCGGCUAAUAAUUACUCCAUAUAACAAUCUAAUCGUCCCUGCGUCGCCUUUCGGGCGGCUCGGGCGGAAAGCCACCAUGCCGCUGCCACGCCCUUCUCGCCCCUUCCUCACCUCGCCAUCGCUGGAGGAGGCCGUCGGGCUAAGCCUGCGUGGCGGACGACGACGGCGAGGCUUUCCUUUCCUCUCGCUCGGCGGGAGGCGCACGCGGUGGGGGAGGCUCGACCCCAUCUGCUGCGUUGCUUGGGGCUGCAGCACCUUGGGCUGUUGGAUGGGCUUCGGCCGACGGAUCUUCGCCGGCGGCCUGGGGGUGUGGCAGCCUCCCUUGGCCUCCCCGCAUCUGCAUCGGGCGAAGGCGGUCUUCCCGCGGCUCCUUGGUGUGGCGUUUGGAGGAUGCUUCGGCGGCGGUGCGGAUUGUCUGAUCCGGGACUCCCAGAUCCGGCCCUCUCGCGACAGUCUGGGGCUCCGGUGGUGGAUAUGGCGAUGCGGGGUGCGGUGGGCUGGAUCCAGCUGGUUCGGGACGGGGUGGCAACCCUCCCUCCCGGCUCUGGUGGUGCUCGUUGGUUGCAGUGCGGUGGUGCAGUGGUGGUGGGCGUCAGAUGAUGGCCCGGCUUGGCGCACGGGAGGUGAGCGAGUCAGUGGAUUGCUGCGUGUGAGGGUGAUGUCCAAGAUGUUCCGGGUGAAAGCCUGCACGGUUGUGUGCUCCGGCCGACGUGGUGCUGGUUGGAGCUGCUAGUCUCCCUGGUGCAGUGGCCUCUACGUGGUGUAGGUGGUCCUGCCGGUGGUAUGUCUGGAGGCGCCACCCUUUCUCAGAUCCGGUUCGUUGGUGGAUGGUGGUGGUGGUCAGGUUGUGUUGUUCAUCGACGGUUGCUCGUCUCCUUGGUGUUGUGUGGCUCGAUCGAUGAUUCCUGGGUCCGACGUCUUUGAUCUGCUUCUGCCGGAGGUCGCUCUCUGUUGGCAGUGGCCGAGCUCCUUCCCCGGUGCUUCUAAUAGGUGGAGAGGCUUAGGGCUCUGGGCGAAAGCCUUGGUUCGAUGGGGAUCGAAGGAUACCGAUGGCAUUGCUUCUUGAAGUUACCGUCGAAGAGUUCCUACUCUUCACUAGUCCGUGGUUUGUCGGUUCUAGGGCUGCCCUGUAGGCUGUUUCGUGUGGCUGAACUUUCCCGAGGUCCGGCGGAGUUGUUGUGGAUGUCUCUGGGCGAAAGCCUUGGUUCGAUGGGGGUCGAAGGAUACCGGCGACGAUGCUUCUUGAAAGCGUCGCCGAAGAGUCCUCACACCUCUUUAGGUUUGUGGGCGUGUUGGUGGUGGAGUUUGAGUUGUCGACGUCGGCAAGAGUUGGGUUGUUGUACGAUUCUCGUGUGUUGUAAGUUUUUUUUGUCUAGUUUUCCUUAUAAACAGGGCCACUUUGUUCUCUUUUUUCCUCUCUUAGAGCAUGGUUAAUAAUAUAGCCAACAAUCGGUUAUAAAAAGUUGCCAUAUCAGAUAGAGCCAACCUAAUAGCCGGCAUAUACAAUACUCCCCGCAUCAUAGUCUAUAAGGCAUGUACAUGUAUCUAGGUCGUCAAUUUAACUUAUAUAAAAUAUAUUAUUUAACAUAAAAAUUAUAUCAUUAGAAAAUAGAACAUCUAAAGUUUCUAAUGAUUUUUUUUAAUAUAUGUUUCCCAUUAAAUUGGUCAAAUUGACGACCUAUAUACACGUGUCGGACUUAUAAACUGAAACGGAGGGAGUAAUAAGUUUUAGAUGUGUAAUACUUUAGUAGUAGUUGGCCCACCUUACAAUCUCACAAAGUGUCUUGUGUCUCGUGUUGCAGCUGACUACUUAUCAAGAGCCCGUUUCUCUUCUCCCUCCUUUUCUUCUCCAACUAAGUAAGAAUAUAAUAUUCUAAUUCUUAUAGCCUACUUAUGUCACCUUAUUGUACUUGCUAAUAAUGAAAAUCAAGAAUGCUCCUGCCUUGCACCGUUGCACGUCGAAACCAGGGCCGUUCAACCUUUCUGCAAAACGAACAAAACGCCUCAAUAUUUCGAAGAUAACGAACGCAUCUAUCUGCCCGGAUACGUGACUAAUGGAGGCGUUGCGCGUAUGGAGGGCUUCCUCCAAUCUCCUCGGCUUCGCGGCCUCCCGCGCCGCCGCCGCCGCCGCCUCGGCCGGGAGGGCCCAUCGUUUUCACAUCCGCUGCUGCUCUCCGGCUGCUGCCGCCACCACGAAGCCGCCGCAGGACCGGCGCCGCCGCAGCGCCUCCUCAUCCUCCACCUCCGACCGCGACUCUAUCCGCGCCAUUCGCCUAAAAAAGGUCAGCUCUUCGUCAGCCGCAACUUGCCAGUUGCCACGCCUCUACUUGAACGCUGUUAGGCAAACCAUUCUACUCCCCACAAUCUGUGGCCGAUACAGCUGUGAAUCUGCUUGAGAUCAGCAGCUUAUUUGGCUUGCUAGGUCGAGGAGCUAAGAGGGAUGGGUUACGAGCCGUAUGCGUACAAGUGGGACAGGACUCACACGACCAAGGAGCUUCAGGAGAGGUACACCCAUCUCGAGGAUGGUGAAGUCUGCACCGAGGCGGCGGUUUCCAUUGCUGGUAGGAUCGUUGCCCGAAGAGCAUUUGGAAAACUUGUUUUCAUGACCAUAAGAGACGACUCCGGAACUAUUCAGGUUCGAUCUUCAAAUGAUUUGCCAUCUAUUGCCAGUCAAAUUACCUGUGUGAAUCAGACAAGGAUUGUUGCUUUAUAAUUUUCCAAUAGCAAUAUGUUUUCUGCCUGACCUUGUAUUUGAAACUGGCUAAACAUGUCAUUGCAAAUAUUAAAAUUGGUUGCCCUAUGAGUUAGAAAAGUUUGGUCAGAACUCUGGAAAUUCAGCUUCUUAGCCACUGGAAAGUGAGCCGUACGAUAGUUUGGCAACAAACCAAGUGAAGGUCAAAUACAAUGAUUUGUUUACUUUCAAAUAGUAGUUGUCUCAAGAAGCCCUGAACUUAGUGUUACAUACUACUCACUCUUCUUAAUAUAUGUCAAUGUUUUUGUGCUCCAUUUUUGCAUAUUAUCUACUCCCUCUGUACCUAAAUAAUUGUAGUUGGGGAGANNNNNNNNNNNNNNNNNNNNNNNNNNNNNNNNNNNNNNNNNNNNNNNNNNNNNNNNNNNNNNNNNNNNNNNNNNNNNNNNNNNNNNNNNNNNNNNNNNNNNNNNNNNNNNNNNNNNNNNNNNNNNNNNNNNNNNNNNNNNNNNNNNNNNNNNNNNUCUCCCCAACUACAAUUUUUUAGGUACAGAGGGAGUAGAUGUGUGAGGCAUGUGAACGCCUGAAUCCAAACUAAACGGACCAGUAUUUGUCUAUUUGAUGCGAGAUAUUUAACUGAUCGAACAUCCGAUUCUUAUGAAAAUCUGAGCACAUUCUAAAGCAGCUUAUGAUGGACACAAAGUUGUUUCACUAUCCAAUUCAAAUUCUGUUUGUAUGACCUUAACUUGACAAUUUUAGUUUGCCUGGUAGGUAAGCUUAAGACUGCACUAAACACUUUAAUCAUGUACUCUGUGGAUUUGUUGAACAUUAGUAAAAGGCCAUCAGGUGACAUUGUAUGUUGUGACUAUUGUUUCCAUUGGAGUUUGGCUUCUUCCCGAUGCAGAUGAAGUCUACCAGAUCAUGUUCUGCAGUUUACAAUUUGUAUUUCUUGUGGCUAGUACCUACUAGAACUUGGUGGUUAUUCAUUUAAUUGUUGAAGAUAUUUUGCGCGAUAUACAUUAUAAAACUUCCCUUUUGGCAAUUGUUAGCUUUACUGUGAGAAAGAAAGCCUUACGGAGGAGCAGUUUGAGCAACUGAAGGCAUUUAUUGAUGUUGGCGAUAUCUUAGGUGCAAGUGGGUCCAUAAAGAAGACAGAAAAAGGUUUAGUAUUAAUAAUCCUUAUACUGAUGUGUCAAUACUGUCUAUUAUAUUUGGGAUUUUCUUUUUGUCAGUCGACUGAGAAUGAGUUAAACCUCAGUCGACCGAGUUGCACAUUACCAAGCCUAAACUUGCACAGAAAAUUCACAUCCAGGAAUAGGCUCCAUGCACUUUUCCAAACCUAAAAUUGCAUUCAACUGUUAUUUGUAUAGUUUUUUUCUUCUGUUCUCUGUAGGUGUAAAAUCCCACAAUUCCAAUAUAUUAAGAGAAAAUAUGUGCAAUAGUUAAAGGGUCAGAAUAUGCAAAGAAGCUAACCUAGGGUGGUAGGAAAGAGAUCCAGCGUAUCAACCUAUCUCUAUGCUUGAUCUUAACCCUAUGAGCUAGCAGAGAGAUACCACGAACAAAGUUGCAGCGCCAUGCUGUAAAAGAGGGCUUGCAGAAACAAAAACCUUGCCAUUAUGCUGAAGCCAAGUGUGCCAGCAAACUAGAAACACCACCUCAGAGAAGAAAGGCUCCCCAAAUCCCUCCCUUGCCGCCCAAGCAAUCUGGUGCAUGUUGCCACCUCCAGAUCAGUCAAUUUGCAAAUAAUUCCACACACGGCAACUAAAAUUGCUCAGUCACCUCGUCACAUAGUUCUUAAAUUUGGCCAUCCGAAAAAAGUCGAAAUAUCAACUUAGCAUGUUAGGCUGUUUCACGAUCGAAGUGGUACUCCCUCCAAUCCAUAUUACUUGUCGCAACUUUAGUACAACAAAAAUGAGCUACAUAGCAGAAUGCUGCAAAGUUACCAAGGACAUGUGUUAGUAGGUCUGGUUAUAGCAUUAUAGCAGCAUGAAAUCUCUGUGAAUGACUAAAGUUUAUAUAUCAUAAAAAAAACUCGGCUAACAGGCACCAUCACCGUUGCAUUUUUAACCAGAAGAAACUACCAUGAGGUGGAGGCCAAGCUUCGAACCUGAGUGGACUGAGCACGCGCACUCAUGCCUCUAGCCAACUGAAGGAUGCACAGUUCUUAAAGUUUAUAUAUUAUGGCAGCUAAAUACUAUUACCUGGGGUAGAUGAGUUCUGUUCAUGCCACUUUAUGUACACAUUACAAUGUCAUAUAGUUUGUUCAGGUGCUAGUAAUCUAGCAUGCAUUUAGAUAGCUCAAUAUUCACUAUAGUUCUUCUA